rnacentral:rRNA from 1 species
CCUACUCCUACGGGAGGCAGCAGUAGGGAAUCUUCCACAAUGGGCGAAAGCCUGAUGGAGCAACGCCGCGUGUGUGAUGAAGGGUUUCGGCUCGUAAAACACUGUUGUAAGAGAAGAAUGACAUUGAGAGUAACUGUUCAAUGUGUGACGGUAUCUUACCAGAAAGGAACGGCUAAAUACAUGCCAGCAGCCGCGGUAAUAA